GGGGAAACCCACGACCAGUGCAACAGAGAGCAAACCGCCGAUGGCCCGCGCAAGCGGGAUCAGGUAAGGGUGAAAGGGUGCGGUAAGAGCGCACCGCGCGGCUGGUAACAGUCCGUGGCACGGUAAACUCCACCCGGAGCAAGGCCAAAUAGGGGUUCAUAAGGUACGGCCCGUACUGAACCCGGGUAGGCUGCUUGAGCCAGUGAGCGAUUGCUGGCCUAGAUGAAUGACUGUCCACGACAGAACCCGGCUUAUCGGUCAGUUUCACCU
rnacentral:RNase_P_RNA from 3 species